GAAGACUUCAUCCGGACUCCUACGGGAGCCGGACUUCAUCCCCGACUCCGGCUGCAGGAAGACUUCAUCCAGACUCCUACGGGAGUCGGACUUCAUCCCCGACUUGGGCUGCAGGAAGACUUCGUCCGGACUCCUACGGGAGCCGGACUUCAUCUCUGACUCCGACUGCAGGAAGACUUCAUCCGGACUCCUACGGGAGCUGGACUUCCACCCAGAACUCCUGUUGCAGGUAGACCUCAUCCGAACUCCUACAAAGGCCGAACUCCGAACUUCUACCGCAAGCGAUCUACCCCGAGCUUCUGCUACAAGCGGUCUACUUCAAAUUUCUACUACGAGCGGUCUGCACUAGAUUUUUGCUGUAAGCUUUCAUCCGAGCUCCUCUCAGAUGGAUAGCUACCUCUCUCUGUCAGGCGCUUCGACCGAGCUUCGACCGACAGGCCUGGACUCCCUGACAGGCCACAGUAAUGGCCACGACUCUGCUCCACCUCCUGCGAUGGAUUCUGUGUGG
rnacentral:lncRNA from 1 species